UUGUAGCAAGUUAGUAAGGGCAUACGGUGGAUGUCUUGGCACCAGGAGCCGAUGAAGGACGUAGGAGACUGCGAAAAGUCUAGGGGAGCUGUCAACCGAGCUGAGAUCCUAGAAUUUCCGAAUGGGGAAACCCGGACCCAGUCAUGUGGGUUCACCCAUACCUGAACACAUAGGGUAUGUGGAGGGAACGCGGGGAAGUGAAACAUCUCAGUACCCGCAGGAAGAGAAAACAACCGUGAUUCCGUGAGUAGUGGCGAGCGAAAGCGGAUGAGGCUAAACCGUAUUCGUGUGAUACCCGGCAGGGGUUGCGUGUACGGGGUCGUGGGACCUUUUGGUCAGUUCUGCCGGACUGGCAACGAGUCAGAAAAUGCUGUGGUUAGAGGAAUGCGUCUGGAAAGCGUGAGCGUAGAGGGUGAAACUCCCGUACUCGAAAACCUGGCAUCUCGUGAGAGUGUUCCCAAGUAGCAGCGUACUCGUGAAAUUCGCUGUGAAUCUGGCGGGACCACCCGCUAAGCCUAAAUACUCCCUGGUGACCGAUAGCGGACAAGUACCGUGAGGGAAAGAUGAAAAGUACCCCGGGAGGGGAGUGAAAUAGUACCUGAAACCGUGUGCCUACAAUCCGUCGGAGCCUUUAGGGGUGACGGCGUGCCUUUUGAAGAAUGAGCCUGCGAGUUAGUGCUACGUGGCGAGGUUAACCCGUGUGGGGUAGCCGUAGCGAAAGCGAGUCUGAAUAGGGCGCUUGAGUCGCGUGGUCUAGACCCGAAGCGGUGUGAUCUAGCCAUGGCCAGGGUGAAGCGCGGGUAAGACCGCGUGGAGGCCCGAACCCACCAGGGUUGAAAACCUGGGGGAUGAGCUGUGGUUAGGGGUGAAAGGCCAAUCAAACACCGUGAUAGCUGGUUCUCCCCGAAAUGCAUUUAGGUGCAGCGUCGUGUGUUUCACCACGGGGGUAGAGCACUGGAUGGUCUAGGGGGCCUACAAGCUUACCGAAAUCAACCAAACUCCGAAUACCGUGGUGUGAGAGCGCGGCAGUGAGACUGCGGGGGAUAAGCUUCGUAGUCGAGAGGGAAACAGCCCAGAACGCCAGCUAAGGUCCCUAAGUGUGUGCUAAGUGGGAAAGGAUGUGGGGUCGCACAGACAGCCAGGAGGUUGGCUUAGAAGCAGCCACCCUUUAAAGAGUGCGUAAUAGCUCACUGGUCAAGUGGUCCUGCGCCGACAAUGUAGCGGGGCUUAAGCACACCACCGAAGCUGUGUCAUUUCGAGUUUACUCGGGAUGGGUAGGGGAGCGUCGUGUAGCGGUUGAAGCGGCGGAGUAAUCCAGCCGUGGACGCUAUGCGAGUGAGAAUGCAGGCAUGAGUAGCGAAAGACGAGUGAGAAACUCGUCCGCCGGAUGACCAAGGGUUCCUGGGCCAGGCUAAUCCGCCCAGGGUAAGUCGGGACCUAAGGCGAGGCCGACAGGCGUAGUCGAUGGACAACGGGUUGAUAUUCCCGUACCCGUGUGAACGCGCCCAUGAUGAACCUUGUGAUACUAACCGCCCAAAGCACCUGCCGAAACCCUUCGGGGCUAGGUGGAUUGUGGAGCGCGGGACCUGAACUUGUAGUAGUCAAGCGAUGGGGUGACGCAGGAGGGUAGCUCCGCCAGUGAGUGGUAGUACUGGUGCAAGCGUGUAGGGAGUCUGGUAGGCAAAUCCGCCAGGCACAUAUCCUGAGACGUGAUGCGUAGCCGAUUGAGGCGAAGUAGAGUGAUCCCAUGCUGCCGAGAAAAGCCUCUAGCGAGCUUUCACGCGGCCCGUACCCCAAACCGACACAGGUGGUCAGGUAGAGAAUACCAAGGCGAUCGGGCGAACUGUGGUUAAGGAACUCGGCAAAAUGCCCCCGUAACUUCGGGAGAAGGGGGGCCGUAGCGCUUGAAGCCUCUUGCAGGCUAGGGCGAGACGGCCGCAGAGACCAGCGAGAAGCGACUGUUUACUAAAAACACAGGUCCAUGCGAAGUCGCAAGACGAUGUAUAUGGACUGACGCCUGCCCGGUGCUGGAACGUUAAGGGGACCGGUUAGUCCGUAAGGGCGAAGCUGAGAACUUAAGCGCCAGUAAACGGCGGUGGUAACUAUAACCAUCCUAAGGUAGCGAAAUUCCUUGUCGGGUAAGUUCCGACCUGCACGAAUGGCGUAACGACUUCUCGACUGUCUCAACCGCAGGCCCGGCGAAAUUGCAUUACGAGUAAAGAUGCUCGUUACGCGCGGCAGGACGGAAAGACCCCGGGACCUUUACUAUAGCUUGGUAUUGGUGUUCGAUUCGGCUUGUGUAGGAUAGGUGGGAGACUGUGAAGCGGCCACGCCAGUGGUUGUGGAGUCAUCGUUGAAAUACCACUCUGGUCGUAUUGGAUGUCUAACCUCGGUCCGUGAUCCGGAUCAGGGACAGUGCCUGGUGGGUAGUUUAACUGGGGCGGUUGCCUCCCAAAGAGUAACGGAGGCGCUCAAAGGUUCCCUCAGCCUGGUUGGCAAUCAGGUGUUGAGUGCAAGUGCACAAGGGAGCUUGACUGUGAGACUGACGGGUCGAGCAGGGACGAAAGUCGGAACUAGUGAUCCGGCCAUGGCUUGUGGAAGCGUGGUCGCUCAACGGAUAAAAGGUACCCCGGGGAUAACAGGCUGAUCUUCCCCAAGAGUCCAUAUCGACGGGAUGGUUUGGCACCUCGAUGUCGGCUCGUCGCAUCCUGGGGCUGGAGUAGGUCCCAAGGGUUGGGCUGUUCGCCCAUUAAAGCGGUACGCGAGCUGGGUUUAGAACGUCGUGAGACAGUUCGGUCCCUAUCCGCCGCGCGCGUAGGAUACUUGAGGAAGGCUGUCCCUAGUACGAGAGGACCGGGACGGACGGACCGCUGGUGUGCCAGUUGUUCUGCCAAGAGCAUUGCUGGUUGGCUACGUUCGGAAGGGAUAACCGCUGAAGGCAUCUAAGCGGGAAGCUCGUUCCAAGAUGAGGUAUCCCACUCUUCGUGAGUUAAGGCCCCCAGCUAGACCACUGGGUUGAUAGGCCAGAGGUGGAAGACCGGUAACGGUUGGAGCUGACUGGUACUAAUAGGCCGAGGACUUGUUACAAAGACGCUACGCAUCCACUGUGCGGUUCUGGAAGAAC
rnacentral:rRNA from 1 species